AUUAACAAUCCACAGUGUUAAACAGUACUCGUGUUCAGUGUUGUUAUAUGGUGUAAUUUCACUUUUACACUAAAAGUGCGAAAUAAAAGACCCGCCGAAUUGUCUGGACUCCGCCCUUCAGUGACUGCUGCCUCGCGAAGCGACAACGCCAUCUUUUCUUCGAACGACCGAGACGAAGCCUCAGAAGACCUUCAAGGAUCCAGUUGACCUCUGAAUCAGCUGUUAAGAAAAUGGGACAGUUAUAUUGCUUCAAUUGGUCUCCUACUUCAUUUGAUUCCACCAUCAUUACAAGGCUGCAAGGGAUCUGGAAAAAUGUCAUCCUGUCAAGCUGAAAAACCAUCUUCAAAAAGGCACUAACAAGAACAGCUUGAUUGUAGAGAAGAGUCCACACAGCCAUACACGCUCACUGAUGGGACGAUGAGGAACAUCAUUC
ensembl:lncRNA